UGGGGAAUUUUGCACAAUGGGGGAAACCCUGAUGCAGCGACGCCGCGUGAUUUAGAAGGCCUUCGGGUUGUAAAAAUCUUUUCUAUGGGAAGAAAAUGACAGUACCAUAGGAAUAAGGACCGGCUAAUUACGUGCCAGCAGCCGCGGUAAUACGUAAGGUCCGAGCGUUGUCCGGAAUCAUUGGGCGUAAAGGGUACGUAGGCGGGUAAGCAAGUUAGAAGUGAAAUCCUAUAGCUCAACUAUAGUAAGCUUUUAAAACUGCUCAUCUUGAGGUAUGGAAGGGAAAGUGGAAUUCCUAGUGUAGCGGUGAAAUGCGCAGAUAUUAGGAGGAAUACCGGUGGCGAAGGCGACUUUCUGGCCAUAACCUGACGCUGAGGUACGAAAGCAUGGGUAGCAAACAGG
rnacentral:rRNA from 1 species